rnacentral:rRNA from 1 species
GGACUACAAGGGUAUCUAAUCCUGUUUGCUCCCCACGCUUUCGUGUUUCAACGUCAGGAAUGGACUAAGAAGCUGCCUUCGCCAUUGGUGUUCCUCUCGAGAUCUACGCAUUUUACCGCUACUCCGAGAAUUCCACUUCUCUCUUCCACCCUCUAGCAUGUUAGUUUCCACUGCAGGCCUCCAGUUAGGCUGGAGAAUUUAACAACAGACUUAACACACCGUCUACACACCCUUUACGCCCAAUGAUUCCGAAUAACGCUUGCACCCUUCGUAUUACCGCGGCUGCUGGCAC